AACGAACGCUGGCGGCAUGCCUAACACAUGCAAGUCGAACGAGACCUUCGGGUCUAGUGGCGCACGGGUGCGUAACGCGUGGGAAUCUGCCCUUGGGUUCGGAAUAACUCGCCGAAAGGCGUGCUAAUACCGGAUGAUGACGUAAGUCCAAAGAUUUAUCGCCCAAGGAUGAGCCCGCGUUGGAUUAGCUAGUUGGUGAGGUAAAGGCUCACCAAGGCGACGAUCCAUAGCUGGUCUGAGAGGAUGAUCAGCCACACUGGGACUGAGACACGGCCCAGACUCCUACGGGAAGCAGCAGUGGGGAAUAUUGGACAAUGGGCGAAAGCCUGAUCCAGCAAUGCCGCGUGAGUGAUGAAGGCCUUAGGGUUGUAAAGCUCUUUUACCCGGGAUGAUAAUGACCGUACCGGGAGAAUAAGCUCCGGCUAACUCCGUG
rnacentral:rRNA from 1 species